AGAGUUUGAUCCUGGCUCAGGACGAACGCUGGCGGCGCGCUUAACACAUGCAAGUCGAGCGAGAACCAUUCCUUCGGGAAUGGGGACAGCGGCGAACGGGUGAGUAACACGUGGGUAAUCUGCCCUCGAUUCUGGGAUAGCCCGGGGAAACCCGGAUUAAUACCGGAUAGCCUCUCGAGCUUUCGAGCUCGUGAGAAAAGGUAGCUUCGGCCUCCGAUCGAGGAUGAGCCCGCGGCGGAUUAGCUUGUUGGUGGGGUAAUGGCCUACCAAGGCAACGAUCCGUAGCUGGUCUGAGAGGACGAUCAGCCACACUGGGACUGAGACACGGCCCAGACUCCUACGGGAGGCAGCAGUGGGGGAUCUUGCGCAAUGGGCGAAAGCCUGACGCAGCGACGCCGCGUGGGGGAAGAAGGCCUUCGGGUUGUAAACCUCUUUCAGCAGGGACGAAGCCACUCGGGUUAAUAGCCCAGAGGGUGACGGUACCUGCAGAAGAAGCCCCGGCUAACUACGUGCCAGCAGCCGCGGUA
rnacentral:rRNA from 1 species